ensembl:lncRNA
AGAUGAACGGCUGUGCAAUGGUGAACAGAUUCAUCCCCAGGCACCCAAUCCAUUAUCCUGUCAACAACAGCAGGUCCCUGCCACAGUUAGCAGCAACAUUGGCCAUAAUGAAAUCAUCAGUAAUCCCAAAACUCAUCUCAUCAUACCCAAGGUAAAAGUGCUUAUCUUUUCUUGGACUGUAUGAUAACAUGACAAAACAGUUAAACAACAGGCUUGGACCUCAGUGGAAGACGCAUGUUUUUCUUCAGCAAUGAAUAACCUGUAGUAGCUAUUUCCCUGCAUGUAAUGGAAUUUGACUUAAGAAAAUCAAAGAAAUGGAUCUAUGGCAUUUCAGUGAGAAAUCUGAUUUAGUUUUUACACUGUCAAAUGCUGAAACCAUUUGAUUUCAGCUCUAUUUUUCAUAUAUAUAAAAAAAUCUGUCUUAAAUUCGCUGGGAAAUUAAAUUAAAAUCAGGAAUCUCAUGUUUAUACUCGUCAGG